UACGUAGGGGGCUAGCGUUGUCCGGAAUCAUUGGGCGUAAAGCGCGUGUAGGCGGCCCGGUAAGUCCGCUGUGAAAGUCUGGGGCUCAACCCUCGAAUGCCGGUGGAUACUGUCGGGCUAGAGUACGGAAGAGGCGAGUGGAAUUCCUGGUGUAGCGGUGAAAUGCGCAGAUAUCAGGAGGAACACCCAUUGCGAAGGCAGCUCGCUGGGACGUUACUGACGCUAAGGCGCGAAAGCGUGGGGAGCGAACAGG
rnacentral:rRNA from 1 species